AUUGAACGCUGGCGGCAUGCUUUACGCAUGCAAGUCGAACGGUAACAGGCCGCAAGGUGCUGACGAGUGGCGAACGGGUGAGUAAUGCAUCGGAACGUGCCCAGUCGUGGGGGAUAACUACUCGAAAGAGUAGCUAAUACCGCAUACGAUCUAUGGAUGAAAGCGGGGGACCGUAAGGCCUCGCGCGAUUGGAGCGGCCGAUGUCAGAUUAGGUAGUUGGUGGGGUAAAGGCUCACCAAGCCAACGAUCUGUAGCUGGUCUGAGAGGACGACCAGCUACACUGGGACUGAGACACGGCCCAGACUCCUACGGGAGGCAGCAGUGGGGAAUUUUGGACAAUGGGCGCAAGCCUGAUCCAGCAAUGCCGCGUGCAGGAAGAAGGCCUUCGGGUUGUAAACUGCUUUUGUACGGAACGAAACGGCUCUGGUUAAUACCCGGGGCUAAUGACGGUACCGUAAGAAUAAGCACCGGCUAACUACGUG
rnacentral:rRNA from 1 species